UGCACAAGGAUGAACCUCCCAAAAAACUAUAUGCUUUAUCUCUGAGUCCUGAGGCUGCUACCAAAGUUGCACUGUCAGAUGAGAUACACUACACGCUGGAGAAAUGACAGGUGUUUUCAUACCUGCAUUUUGACUACAUUACCUGCCUCUUACUCUUAUGGUAAUUUUAAACCACUUCACUGACUUGAACAAAAAGGCUGCAGAUAACUGCAGAAUUCAGCCCACUUUUUCCACUGACCAAGUGAAAAAGCUGGCUGCAGGGAAGACAGAAGAAUGCAAGAUUUACAGCGGAGGGACGGAGCCAACCCUGUGUUCUGAUUAGCAGUUUGGAUGCCAUUGUUCUGUCUGGAAAACACAUGUCAUCCUCAGAAUCACCCAAGCUGUCCAUUGACAUCUGCCAGCAUAUCCUCCAUCACCUCGCUCUUUCUUUUUUCUCACUUUCUCUUCCUUACUCCUCUUUCCUCAUUUCCCUGCAUAUUCCAGUGCAGUCAGGAGCUUCCCCUUGUAAAAAGUGAUGUGGCUUCCACCCCCCCACAAUAUCACCUUCUGUGUCAAGCUGACCACCUCAAAACAACAGAAAAUAGACAGUUCCUCUGAGUCUCCUCACUUGUAGGAUUUGUGCUGUGUUUCACUCUGGGGACAGAAAUUCAUAAUAGCCCAGAGGCUUCAUAUUUUUAAAAUUGUCACACUAAGACUUGACUGCCUCCAUGAAAGGAGCAGUAGAAAGAGAUGCCUGAAGGUAGGCUGGGAAGAAUCCAAAAUGAUGUCAGGUUUCCUUCUACCUUCCCAUCAAUAGGGUCUUUGAAGAAAAAGCCUCUUCAGAGAAGAAAAAAAUAACUUUCUCUUUAGUUAAAAGGGCUACCAUGGUUGCAGUUUGGAGACUGACAGUUAAUGUUAGUUUUAUUACCUUAAAAUCUAUACAGCCUCAUGGUUUGCUGUGGAUGGCUUUGCCUCCAUGAGUUUUGAUGAUGUCCUUGAAAGAGAAAUAUAGAUGCAUAGCUUCAUUCUGUGUUGACUUUGGUGGUGAAUAUUUUAUCCCCUUUC